GAUGAACGCUGGCGGCAUGCCUAAUACAUGCAAGUCGAACGAAGUCUUUAGGAAGCUUGCUUCCAAAGAGACUUAGUGGCGAACGGGUGAGUAACACGUAGGUAACCUGCCCAUGUGCCCGGGAUAACUGCUGGAAACGGUAGCUAAAACCGGAUAGGUAUGAGGGAGGCAUCUUCCUCAUAUUAAAGCACCUUCGGGUGUGAACAUGGAUGGACCUGCGGCGCAUUAGCUGGUUGGUGAGGUAACGGCCCACCAAGGCGAUGAUGCGUAGCCGACCUGAGAGGGUGAACGGGCCACAUUGGGACUGAGACACGGCCCAAACUCCUACGGGAGGCAGCAGUAGGGAAUUUUUCGCAAUGGACGAAAGUCUGACGGAGCAACGCCGCGUGAGUGAUGACGGCUUCGGG
rnacentral:rRNA from 1 species